AGAGUUGAUCUGGCUCAGAACGAACGCUGCGGCAGGCUUAACACAUGCAAGUCGAGCGCCCCGCAAGGGGAGCGGCAGACGGGUGAGUAACGCGUGGGAACGUACCCUUUACUACGGAAUAACGCAGGGAAACUUGUGCUAAUACCGUAUGUGCCCUUCGGGGGAAAGAUUUAUCGGUAAGGGAUCGGCCCGCGUUGGAUUAGCUAGUUGGUGGGGUAAAGGCCUACCAAGGCGACGAUCCAUAGCUGGUCUGAGAGGAUGAUCAGCCACAUUGGGACUGAGACACGGCCCAAACUCCUACGGGAGGCAGCAGUGGGGAAUAUUGGACAAUGGGCGCAAGCCUGAUCCAGCCAUGCCGCGUGAGUGAUGAAGGCCCUAGGGUUGUAAAGCUCUUUCACCGGAGAAGAUAAUGACGGUAUCCGGAGAG
rnacentral:rRNA from 1 species